UUCCAGCUGAUGAGUCCUAAAUAGGACGAAACGCACACCCUGGAU
rnacentral:hammerhead_ribozyme from 1 species